AUGACUGUCUUGCCGCCCGCCCUAUUUGUGCAUCGCUGUUGCUUGCAUAACGUGCAGGAAACUAAAAGCAGCCGUCUGGAUGAACCAGUUUCCCAGAAACGUGAAAUUGGCUCGAUAACUAAACAAACGCAGCUAGUAAACGUGAAAGUGGCUCGACAACCACACUGGUGUGACUUCAUAACUGCCAUCACCCGGGAACUUGGUGCUCUCGGGUACCCGCACACUCUAUAUGCGCAAAAGAAAUUAGUAAUUCAGAAAAAGUUGCAAAAAUUUCAAAUCUUUUUUAGAAUCAAACAUGAUCAGGUAUUGUAA
rnacentral:rRNA from 1 species